AGAGUUUGAUCCUGGCUCAGGAUGAACGCUAGCGGCAGGCCUCAUACAUGCAAGUCGAGGGGCAGCAUUUAUUUCGGUAAAUGGCGACCGGCGAACGGGUGCGUAACGCGUAUGCAACCUACCUUUAACUGGGGCAUAGCUCGAAGAAAUUCGAAUUAAUUCCCCAUGGUACAAUAAUAUCGCAUGAUAUAAUUGUUAAAGAUUUAUUGGUUAAAGAUGGGCAUGCGUCUGAUUAGUUUGUUGGUGAGGUAACGGCUCACCAAGACCACGAUCAGUAGGGGUUCUGAGAGGAUGAUCCCCCACAUUGGUACUGAGACACGGACCAGACUUCUACGGAAGGCAGCAGUAAGGAAUAUUGGGCAAUGGGCGAAAGCCUGACCCAGCCAUGCCGCGUGCAGGAUUGAAGACCUUAUGGGUUGUAAACUGCUUUUAUAUAGGAAGAAAAUACUCUUGCGAGAGUAACUGACGGUACUAUAUGAAUAAGGACCGGCUAACUCCGUGCCAGCAGCCGCGGUAAUACGGAGGGUUCAAGCGUUAUCCGGAUUUAUUGGGUUUAAAGAGUGCGUAGGUGGUUUAUUAAGUCAGUGGUGAAAUCCUACAGCUCAACUGUAGAACUGCCAUUGAAACUGGUAAACUUGAGUUUGGCUGAGGUAAGCGGAAUUUAUGAUGUAGCGGUGAAAUGCAUAGAUAUCAUAAGGAACACCAAUAGCGUAGGCAGCUUACUAGACCAAUACUGACACUGAGGCACGAAAGCGUGGGUAGCGAACAGGAUUAGAUACCCUGGUAGUCCACGCCGUAAACGAUGCUCACUCGAUGUUAGCGAUAUACUGUUAGCGUCCAAGCUAAAGCGUUAAGUGAGCCACCUGGGUAGUACGCCGGCAACGGUGAAACUCAAAGGAAUUGACGGGGGUCCGCACAAGCGGUGGAGCAUGUGGUUUAAUUCGAUAAUACGCGAGGAACCUUACCUAGGCUAGAAUGCGCGAGACAUCCAAAGAAAUUUGGACUUCUUCGGACUCAAAGCAAGGUGCUGCAUGGUUGUCGUCAGCUCGUGCCGUGAGGUGUUGG
rnacentral:rRNA from 1 species